rnacentral:lncRNA from 1 species
UGGCAAUAUUGAGAGAUGGGCCCUUUAAGAGGCGAAUGGGUCAUGAGGGCUCUGCCUUCAUGAAUGGAUUCAUCUAUCCAUGGAUUAUGGGUGAAUGGAUUAAUGGGUUACUGUGGGAGUGGAACUGGUGGCUUUUUAAGAAGAGGAGGACAGACCUGAGCUGGCGUGCUCAGCCCAUGUGAGGCCCUGGGCUGCCUCAGGACCCUGCAGAGAGUCCCCACUAGCCAGAAGAACUUCACCAGAUGCAGCCCCUCAAUCUUGGACUUCUCAGCUUCCAAAACUCCUGAACCUUGAUAGACAGAUGUUCAUUAAACAUUUGGAAAUGAAAUGAGUGAAAGGAAUCUUAGCCCUGCCAUUUACUCUGCACCAUUGAGCAAGUUAUUUACUGAAUCGGAGCCUCUCUUUCCUCAUCCGUCAAACAGAGAGAAGGAAGCCUCCAUCACGGGCUGCUGUGGGAACACGUUAAGCUUUUGUGCAAUUCCCAGGGUAAAUAGUCAAUCAAUGGAGAAAGGUGUAAUUAUGAGCCAUGGAAUUGGCUCUGACACUGGAGAAUGCCCUGCCUGCCCAGCAGCUCCACCUCCAUCAGGUCCCUGCAGUUUUCUGAAGGCACAAGAGGCAAGCUUGAGAGGAGCUGGAAAAUAUGGGAAAAGAGAAUCACAAGGAGGCUCAACGAGGUGGCCAGUGCCGGAGCACCUUUGGACCUAGUUCUCUAUAUUAAAAUUCUUUUCUUAAACCGCCUGGUUGGGAUCUGCUUUCUUGAUUAGAGACUGAAGUUUCUUCUCAGAGAAACCUUCCCUCACCAUCCUGGGAAAAGUAGCUCCAGGCUCUUUCCAUCGUCUUAUACCACUGGUACCCUUCUCAGCACUAACCAGUACCUGAAAUGGUGAGUUCAUGAAUUGCUUCCUUGUUUAUUGUCUUUCUCUUCCAGCGAGAAUGCAGACUCCUCAAUGGCGGACAUGUGGUCACCCUUAUAUCCCCAGCACCCAGCAGAGGGCUUGGUGCAUAGCAGGUGCUCAGUGAAUGUUUAUGUUCUGUCAUUGGAUGCCACUAAUCUAAUGCGUGACCUUAGGUUACAGGCACUUUCUGUCCCAAGUUCUCAUAUUCUCACCCGCCAGUAAGAGUUGGCCUUAAUGUUAAAUAUCUGAGAUUCCGUGACUUUGCUUUGCAAUUACUAUUAUAACUCAGCCAAUUUGGAAACAACUCAAAAUUUCAAAUUUCCUUGUCCAGAGUUGUCAGCCUGGCUAACAAAUGUCAGAAAUCACUAACUCCUUAGAGUGCUUUGUUCUACUGGAAGGCCAUUUGUCCUGGAAAGCCAUUGCUCUAUAUUAAGUGCUCAAGUGUGUGUACUCAUUAGGAAGAAAUGGAACAGAGAAGCCAUCAUUCAGUUUAAGCAAUGACCUGACACCAUGGGCAGCUUGCACAAGCCAUUCCAAAUACCAGUAAAUACGUAAUUAAGGCAUUGGAGGCCAGCAAAACUCAGCCAAGUUCAUUCUAAGCUGUCUCUAGCAAUGCGUGGGAAAGGCUGGAGGCUUUGUGUUUUGAACUCCAAGGCAGCCACAUGCUGAGCAGUCAUUUUUGUGUGGACACACCACAGCACUAGGAUUCUGUUGAAACAGGCAUUGGGUACUAAGUAUCUGGGCAGCUUCUCUCACCCCAUUGCCACUGCACUCCUUGGGGCCCCCUCACUUUUUGGUCCAGACCUUUCUCCUGUGUCUCACUGGCUUUUCUGCUUCCAGAACACCCUCUCCUCUGCCCCAUUCCCCUCAAUCUCUCCUCCACAGUGGACUUUCUCAAAUGCUUGGAGGACUGAAUCACCCACCCACUUAAUACCCUUAAUAAGUUCCACUGGCUUCAGGACAAUUUCCUGGCUCCUCAGCACUGCACGCCAGGUUACUUAGGGUCUAUUCUCCAAUAACCUCUGAUGCCUAACUUUAGCCACCCUCUCUUGGUGUGUGCUUUAUUUAAUUUGAUUUUAUAUAUAUAUAUAUAUUUUACACAGGGUCUCACUUUUGUCUCCCAG